rnacentral:rRNA from 1 species
UAUUGGACAAUGGGCGAAAGCCUGAUCCAGCAAUGCCGCGUGAGUGAUGAAGCCCUUAGGGUUGUAAAGCUCUUUUACCCGGGAUGAUAAUGACAGUACCGGGAGAAUAAGCUCCGGCUAACCCCGUGCCAGCAGCCGCGGUAAUACGGAGGGAGCUAGCGUUGUUCGGAAUUACUGGGCGUAAAGCGCACGUAGGCGGCUUUGUAAGUUAGAGGUGAAAGCCUGGAGCUCAACUCCAGAAUUGCCUUUGAUACUGCAUCGCUUGAAUCCAGGAGAGGUGAGUGGAAUUCCGAGUGUAGAGGUGAAAUUCGUAGAUAUUCGGAAGAACACCAGUGGCGAAGGCGGCUCACUGGACUGUAUUGACGCUGAGGUGCGAAA